UGAUGAUUAUAAGUGUGUGACACCGACACACACACAUACGAAACAAUGAUUUCUCUUAUUCUAAUGCUGGGUCUGCUUGCUCAAGUCUCUCAUGAAGAGGUUCAGUCUCCUGAGUCUCUGUCUGCUAAAGCAGGAGAUUCUGUCUCUAUCAGCUGCACUGGGACCAGCGGAGUUGAUGAUGACAUGAGCUGGUAUCUGCAAAAACCUGGAGAAGCUCCUAAACUCCUGAUCUAUAAAGCAAAUCAACUUUAUUCUGGAGUCCCAGAUCGGUUCAGUGGAAGUCAGAAUGGACUUGAGUUCACACUGAAUCUACGUGGAGUCCAGACUGAGGAUGCAGGAGAUUAUUACUGUAUGGGUGCUUAUCGUGGCCCAGUGUUCACACAGUGAAACAGCAUCGUACAA